rnacentral:misc_RNA from 1 species
UGGCUCUGGCAUCGAUGAAGAACGCAGCGAAAUGCGAUAAGUAAUGUGAAUUGCAGAAUUCAGUGAAUCAUCGAAUCUUUGAACGCACAUUGCGCCCGCCAGUAUUCUGGCGGGCAUGCCUGUUCGAGCGUCAUUUCAACCCUCAAGCCUCGCUUGGUGUUGGAGAUCAGCUGUACUGCUGUCUCUGAAAUACAGUGGCGGUCUCGCCGUAGCUUCCUCUGCGUAGUAAUUCGUUCUCGCUCUGGAGCUCGGUGCGGCCACGCCGUAAAACCCCCCAAACUUUUUAAGGUUGACCUCGAAUCAGGUAGGAAUACCCGCUGA